AGUGGCGAACGGGUGAGUAACACGUGAGCAACGUGCCCAAGACUCUGGAAUAACUUCGGGAAACCGGAGCUAAUACUGGAUACGAGACGUAAAGGCAUCUUUAGCGUCUGGAAAGAAUUUCGGUCUUGGAUCGGCUCACGGCCUAUCAGCUUGUUGGUGAGGUAAUGGCUCACCAAGGCGACGACGGGUAGCCGGCCUGAGAGGGUGACCGGCCACACUGGGACUGAGACACGGCCCAG
rnacentral:rRNA from 1 species